rnacentral:lncRNA from 1 species
GGAGCUACCAUUUGAUUUUUAUGGGGGGGGCUAGGAUGAAAAAUUUUGUCCUGCAUUUUUUUUAGCUGUAAUCUCUGUCCUGCCUUUUUAUUUUUCACUCUUUUCGGUCCUGCCUUUUUUUUUUUAGUUUAUCCUGACUUUUUUUUACCUAACUUGUCGUCCUGACUUUUUUUUUUUGCAAGUGUCUCAUCCUGCCUUUUUUUUUUACUCAAAACUCCUGUCCAGCCUAUUUUUUUCAAAUUUC